rnacentral:misc_RNA from 1 species
CCAUUCGUGCGCCGCUCCCUCUGGGGAUGGCGUGCGCCGGUGCCUUUGGGUGCCGUCACACUUGCCUAUAUGAUUACCUGUUUGUGCUUCCUCGGCAGGUGCUCUGCCUGCCGCUGGAACUAUACAUGAACCUUUUGCAUGUAGAAUCUUACACUUCUGAUACCAAACCCAAUCGUUA